rnacentral:lncRNA from 1 species
GUUUCUGAGUCUUUUUUGAUAUAAGAAGAUUGAGCUUGUUAGUUUAAUUCCACAUAAUAACAACUUUAUUUGUGGUUGUUACUUGUUACAAACAAAAGAAGAUUAGGGAAGUAGAUUUCUCUUCUAACGGGAACUCCUUUUCAGCAUGAUUAGCAAUUUAGAUGAUUGGAUGUACUUAAAAGAUCCAAUAGCUAGCUGCUAAAUCC